rnacentral:rRNA from 1 species
UACGUAGGUGGCAAGCGUUGUCCGGAUUUACUGGGCGUAAAGAGCGCGCAGGCGGUCGGAUAAGUCGAGUGUGAAAGCCCCUGGCUCAACCAGGGAGGGUCAUUCGAUACUGUUCGACUCGAAGGCAGGAGAGGUGAGUGGAACUGCGAGUGUAGAGGUGAAAUUCGUAGAUAUUCGCAAGAACACCAGUGGCGAAGGCGGCUCACUGGCCCGAUACUGACGCUGAGGCACGAAAGCGUGGGGAGCAAACAGG